rnacentral:tRNA from 3 species
GGAGAGGUGUCCGAGUGGUUUAAGGAGCUGGUCUUGAAAACCAGUGACCUCGCAAGGGGCCAAGAGUUCGAAUCUCUUCCUCUCCGCCA